GCACAGCGCUGCCGGGACACGCCGUGACCCGGGAGGGCACCGAGCCGGGCCGUGCCAAAGUUUCCUCGGCAGCGGGCGCGUCCCCUCCCGGCGGAGCAGCCCGGGGCCGGUGCUGUGUCCACGUGUGUCCGCCCGGGAUGUGCUUCCCUGGCAGCCGGGAACCCGCUGGGCAUCCCGUGCCGUGCCGUGCCGUGCCGUGCCGUGCCGUGCCGUGCCAGCUCAGCGGUGCUGCCGUGCCCAUGGGGGCAGCGGGGCUGUGGGCAGCAUCCUGUGCACCCAGGGCCCCCCGGAGCCGUCCCAGAUCCGCCCCCGCUCCAUCCCGGAGCCGUCCCAGCCGUCCCCGCUCACCGGAGCAGGGCCCGGGCGGUCUCUGCUCCUCCUGCCCGGCCGGGCCCGGGGCCCAGCGCAGCCGGGGCUCCGCCAGGAGAGCCCCAGGCUCCCCGGGCCCGUCCCUCUGGGCAGCAGCACCGGCGCUCGCCUCCCCCUUUCCCGAAAUCUCCUCUCCUGAGCGACAGCCAAGGAGAAUGUGCGGAGCCGGAACGAGCCGGGCAGCCGGCAGGAUGCGAGGUGCGAGUGCUGGCACAUGUUGUGCCCAACUGCUCCUCGGUGGCACGGAGCCACUGCCGGCUCCUGUCGCACGCUGCCAGCCCCCAGCAGAGCCCCUGCCUGUCCCCACCAGGCACUGGUGUCCCCAGCGAGGUCUGGGGGCCUCAGGGCCAGCAGCUGGAUCAGCCCAGGCAGUCUGGCCUUCCUCAGGGUGGCAGGAAGCUGUGGGGUUUGUUUUGGUGUAAAUAAUGAGGGUUUGGAGCUCAGUUCCUGUGAGUCAGUGCCCAGGUGGGGAACAGGGGUCGCGAGGGCCUGGCUGAGGGUGCUGCUGGCCAGGGCGUGCACAGAACUCCUGGGCUCCUGUCCCAGCCCAGCCCGGGCCCAGAGCUGACCAGCAGUGCCAGCUAUGCCAGGCCACAGGUGGCACGAGCCUGGCAUCCUCAGCCAGGCAGGGAGCACCCGGGGUGGCACUCUGGUGGCCCAGGGUCCCGUGUGGUGGCUGCAGGGACCUCCCCUCCCUGCAUGGGGCACGGCGAGGGACAGACACCCAUGGCUUGUGCCCUGAGGCUUCUCCCUGUCCUGCCCUGCUUCAGGGUGGGCUGCACUGGGGGUGGGGCUGUGUCCGGUUCCUGAGCACCCCCUGGUUGUCACCAGCUUGUCCCCGAGUCUGUCUCCAUCCCGUGGGGUCACAGCUGCCAUCGCCUGUCACCUCCAGCACAGCCCCACCGGAGCGGGCUCCCCGGGGUGACAGGAGGUGCUGCCAGAGGCUCUCCCUGCUCUGUCACCGCCCCUGGCACUCCCUGACCCUGUCCCCAGUGCCAGGGGCGCUGCGUGGGCCCCACGCGUGGGUGCUGUGGCAGUGUGUCUGUCCUCCAUGUCUGUCCCCACGGGUUUGCCCCAUCAUGUCUGUCCCCCCGUGUCUGUCCCCAUGUCUUUUCACCUGUGUCAGCCCGUGUCCGUUCCCUGUCCCCGUCCCCCCGUGCCCGUUCCCGCAGCCUCUAGAUGGUGCCAGGAGAACGGGCAGCGAGCGGAGGCGGCGGCCGGGCGGUGCCGGGUGCUGUGGGGGUACCGGGGCACCACCGGCGUGCCAGGACGGGCCCCGUGGCUCUCCCCGUGCCCCCAGCUCAGCCCCUCCUUCCCCUGGAAGAAACCCGUUGUGCUGCUUUCCCCAGGCAGCCCAUCCCAAAGAGCCCCUCGGGUCCCGUUCCGUCCCGGUGCUGAGCAGCCGCCACCGUGCCCCGGGGCCAGCGCCAUUGCCAAGGUCCCGCCUGCGGCCGGUGCUGCCCGGCCCGGGAUCCAUCCCUCGUGGCGGUGUCCGCCGCGCUCGGUCCCUGGCAGCCCCGGGAGCUCGGGACGGGCCCCGGGCCGGGGCAGCCCCGGGGGUCGGAGCCCCUGGCAGGGGCUCGGGGUGCCCAUCACCGCCGGGGCUGCCCCACGGCUCCGGCCGCGGCCCCUCCCUGACCUUGGGGGCAGCCCCCGGGACCCCCGGCUGUCACCCCUGGGGUGGCAGCUCGCGCAGGGGGACACCGAGCUGGGGGCUCCGAGCCCCGCGCAGCUCCGCCGCCCCUUCCCCUGGGAAUCCCCGUGGGUGGGCUCUGUCCCAGGGACCCAGGGGACACCCGGCGCCCCUCGGGCGGUGUCCCCGGGCCGGGCGGGGGCUGCUGGCCCCGCGGGCGGGACACGCCGGAGCCCCCGGGGGAGCGGUCCCCCCGCCCGGGCUGCGGCUCCCGGCGUGCUCCGCUCCCGCCUUCCCUCCCUCCCUGCUUCCCUCCGCUGCUCCUUCCCAGCAUCCCCGCAGCAUCCCCGGCAGCUUUGGCUGCUGUCGCCGGAGCGCGACAGGCGCGGGUGGCCGUGGGACCGCGGCCGUGUGGGGCUCAGCCCCUGGCUCCGCUCUGGCCGAGCCGCGGCCAAGGGACAAGCGACCUUCUCGCUGAAUUCCGAGGGGAUUCGGCACGCUGGGAAUAUUCUGGGCUUUCCGGGUCAUUUCCCGCUGCCCACCCUGCCCGAGCCCAUCCCUCGGUGUGACGAGCCGGGUGUUCCCUUUCCGAGCACAAAUCCCACUCGUGGUCCCGCGGGGAGGCGGGGGCUCUUCGCACGGUUUGGGAUUGCACGAGGUGAUAAACAUGUUUGAUCUGGCUCCUUUCAUCUCGUUAAUCUUAAUUAGUUAUUAAUAUUCCGGGAGUGCUUUGAAGACCACGAGCUCAGUGCGGGCUCUCCCUGGUACAACUGGUGUUACUAUGGCUCAGUGUGCGGGCCACCGAGGGGCAGGGAUGCCCCAGAGGGACCUGACUGUCCCCACGGAGCCCCGUGGAACCCCCUGGGGUCACAUGGAGCCCUGCUGAGCCCCAUGGAGCCCCACACAGCCCCGCUGAGCCCCAGGGAGCCCACAGAGAUCCACAGAGCCCCGUGGAGUCCCAAAGAGCCCCAUCGAGUCCCAAAGAGCCCCAUGGAGUCCCCAGGAGCUCUGCUGAGCCCUGCAAAGUCCCAUGAGGACCUGCUGAGCCCCGUGGGGUCCCACAGAGCCCCACGGAGUCCCACGGCAUGCCACGGGGCCCUGCCAGGCCCAGCUGGUCCCAGUGCCAGCUCAGCCCCUGUGUACCCAGGGCACAGCACCAGGAUGGUGACACUGGGGGCUGACCCACGUGUGGGGCGUGUGACAGUGUCCCUGCAGCCUCCCCGUGGGCCCCGGGCUGGCUCCCCGGGCAGCGGCACCUCCCGCCUGACCUAGAAACAGCCGCGAGCUAUAAAUAGGGAGAGCGCUGCCAGAGAGCUCGGAGGAGCCGCGAGCGGGAGGCUGCGGGAGCCAGGAUGGCACCGCAAGGACAGGCAGGGGACACGGGGGGAGAGGGGAGGCUGCAGCCACCCCGUCCCUAUCGGCCCAUGGUGGGGCGGGCGGCUGUGCCUCUCCCUGGCCCGUGUGUGCUGCGGUGACACCGAGCCCAGCUCUGCCCUUCUCCCCCUUUUCCUUCUUUCGCGCACCUCCACUGCUCAGAGGCCCUCCUGCCCCGUGCCAGCCCCGUGCCAGCCCCGUGCCAGCCCGCACCCAGCCCAGCCCGGGCACCGCGCUCCGGCAUUUCUCCUCCCAGCGCCGUCCGAUGCCUCCAUCCCGCCGGGAAUCGCCCACCCUGGGAGCGCCCCAGCCGCGGGAGCCGGGAGCUGAGGCGGGACCCGGGCGGAGGGGGAUGGAGGGACAGGGACAGGGACCGGGACAGGGACAGGGACAGGGACCGGGACAGGGACCGGGAGCCGCAGCCGCCCCCGCCGCCCUGCCCGGGGCAGGAAGAGGGUGACAGUGGCACAAAUGAAAGCGCAGUGUCGGAGUGUGAUUCAGCCUCUUGCCUUAAAGUCAUUCAUGAAAAGCCUUAAUUGCUCUGCAUGCUCAGAGCGGAGCGGAGCCAUCCGUGAGUCAGAGCCGGCGGCUCCCGGCCCUCCCCGCUUGCUGCGGGCUCGGGGGCAGCGGCACGGCUCGGUCCAGCGGGGGCACAGCGGAUGUGCGGGAACAGUCCUUGUCCCCCUCGGAGGGUGGGGCAGCCCCACCUCUGUGGGUCCCUUUAAAGUGACAGUGCAGGAGCCAAGGGACCUGGCACCCAGCUGAGAGACAAGGACGUGCCAAGGCAAAUCCUGGCCAGUGUUAAACAUCCCUGCUUGGCUUUGGUGGGCACAGAAGGAAAUCCGGGAAGACGAAGUGUGUCCAGGGAUGCUCCAAGAGGGAGCACAGUGCCAACCCCUCGCCUUCCUCCUGGAAAGCUGUCACUGUCCCCCAGGCUGGGGGUGCCUGGGAGCUCCUGGUGCCCAGCUCCAGCACCACUUGCUGAAAGUGUUGCCAAAUCUAAGGCACCUGAAGGGAAGCCCCCGUGAUGUGUUUGCCUCAUCUGGCAUUCCCUGGCUUGGCCUGAACGUUCCCACCAUUCAUGAGCCACAGGGGAAGCCACAUGUCCUGCACACAUUGAGGAGCAGCAUUUGGGGGGCUGCCUGUGCCAUGGUGGGCAUCACCUGUGCCAUGGUGGCUCAGGUUGCCCAGAGAAGCUGUGGCCACCCCAUCCCUGGAGCUGUCCAAGGCCCUGCUGGAUGGGGCUUGGAGCAGCCUGGAAGGUGUCCCAUGGCAGGGGUUGGAACAAGAUGAUCCUGAAGGUCCCUUCCAACCCAAACCAUUCCCUGUCCCAGGGUGGGCACCACCCACCCUCGGGGGCAUCACCCAUGCCAAAGGAGAGGGCACAGAGCCUGGGAGGGCUCAAGGACAGCAGGGCCCAGGGAAGCAGGACUCGGUCCUGUGCUGGUGACCCCGGAUCAGCCUCGGGUGGGCUCGGGUGUGAAGCCGCCCCCUGCGGAGCACCGCUCCCGUCCCCAUUGUCCCCAGCGCCCUGCUCCGAGCCGAGCCCGCGCUACCGGAGCUCCGCACGGCGGGGAGGGGGCGGCUCAGCCCCGGCCCCCCUUUCCCGGGCUGCUCCCGCACCGACUCCCGCGGCUACAUCGGGGGGCGGGGACAGGCAGCGCCCCGCAUCGCUCAUUCCGCAUCCCCCAUCCCCGCGGGGCCGGCGGCGGAGCCCCCCCGCGCCUCCCGCUCCUCCCGCUCCGCGCUCCCUCCCCGGGGCGGCGCCGGUGCCGGUGCGGGCGGAGCGCGGCGCGGGGCGGGCGCUGCCGGGGCUGCGGGGGGCGCCGCGCUCCGCUCCCUCCGCUCCCUCCGCUCCCUCGGCUCCGCUCCGCUCCUCCGGCGGCGGCGGGGCCGCGGCAUGAGGAGCCCGGCGGGGCGGGCGGAGCGCGGCGGCGGCGGCGGCGGCGGCGGCUCCUCUCCCGCCGGGGACGGGGCGCGGCGGCGGCUCGCCCCUCCGAUCCCAACCGUGCGGUGCUGUCGGCGCUGACGGAAGAGUUUUUGGGAGGGAGAUGAUGACAGGCUGAUGAAACCAAUCAAACAAUGAAGUAAUCACAAGUCCCCGGUGCUGGCGGCGAAGGCGGGAGGAGCUGCAGGCUGGAGGAGCGGAGGUCCUAAGGAAGCCAUCCUGCUCGGCAGCAAAAACCCCGCGAGGCAGAAGCACUGAGAGGCGGCCAAGGUCCUGUCAUCGGGGCCGAUGGACAGAGACGGCCCCGUGUGCGGGAGGGCAGGAAAAUCCUGCUGGCAGCUCCGGGAGAGCAGUACGGAGGGCGCAGGGGACGGUGCAGGAGGGAGGAGCGGCGGCUCCCCGGGGAGCCGGCGGAGGAGAGUCCUGGCUUUGUUUGCUCUUCCCGAAUCGCUCUGUGAAACCUGAAUCCUGGGACCAAAGGCUGAGGAAGCUUGUCACAGGCUGCUGGCCAGGAUGGGAGAUGGUUCCUGCAGCGGGGGACACUACGGAUGGCUGUGACAGGGCCUGACCCUGCCCUGCAUCUGGAACAUCUGCACUGGGAGAGCAGCUCCUGCCGCUGGGAGCCCGCGCUGGGCUGAGCGUUCAUCGGCUUUGCCGAAGAGAAUCCUGCUGCCAGGCAGGCUGCUCUGCUCUGGGCAGGGAACUG